UACAACAUAGAGUUAAUGCAUCGGAUCCCAUUAUAACUCCACAGUUAAGAAUGCUUAGUCUAGAGUAGUACUGGGAUGGGUGACCGCCUGGGAAGUCCUAGUGUUUUAC
rnacentral:rRNA from 1 species